GGCCGAGUGGCGGAAUGGCAGACGCGGCGGACUCAAAAUCCGUUGCCCGAAAGGGCGUGAGGGUUCGACUCCCUCCUCGGCCA
rnacentral:tRNA from 1 species